CAGGCUUAACACAUGCAAGUCGAGGGGCAUCAGGAAGAAAGCUUGCUUUCUUUGCUGGCGACCGGCGCACGGGUGAGUAACACGUAUCCAACCUGCCCUUUACUCGGGGAUAGCCUUUCGAAAGAAAGAUUAAUACCCGAUGGCAUAAUGAUUCCGCAUGGUUUCAUUAUUAAAGGAUUCCGGUAAAGGAUGGGGAUGCGUUCCAUUAGGUUGUUGGUGAGGUAACGGCUCACCAAGCCUUCGAUGGAUAGGGGUUCUGAGAGGAAGGUCCCCCACAUUGGAACUGAGACACGGUCCAAACUCCUACGGGAGGCAGCAGUGAGGAAUAUUGGUCAAUGGGCGCUAGCCUGAACCAGCCAAGUAGCGUGAAGGAUGAAGGCUCUAUGGGUCGUAAACUUCUUUUAUAUAAGAAUAAAGUGCAGUAUGUAUACUGUUUUGUAUGUAUUAUAUGAAUAAGGAUCGGCUAACUCCGUGCCAGCAGCCGCGGUAAUACGGAGGAUCCGAGCGUUAUCCGGAUUUAUUGGGUUUAAAGGGAGCGUAGGUGGACUGGUAAGUCAGUUGUGAAAGUUUGCGGCUCAACCGUAAAAUUGCAGUUGAUACUGUCAGUCUUGAGUACAGUAGAGGUGGGCGGAAUUCGUGGUGUAGCGGUGAAAUGCUUAGAUAUCACGAAGAACUCCGAUUGCGAAGGCAGCUCACUGGACUGCAACUGACACCGAUGCUCGAAAGUGUGGGUAUCAAACAGGAUUAGAUACCCUGGUAGUCCACACAGUAAACGAUGAAUACUCGCUGUUUGCGAUAUACAGUAAGCGGCCAAGCGAAAGCAUUAAGUAUUCCACCUGGGGAGUACGCCGGCAACGGUGAAACUCAAAGGAAUUGACGGGGGCCCGCACAAGCGGAGGAACAUGUGGUUUAAUUCGAUGAUACGCGAGGAACCUUACCCGGGCUUAAAUUGCAGUGGAAUGAUGUGGAAACAUGUCAGUGAGCAAUCACCGCUGUGAAGGUGCUGCAUGGUUGUCGUCAGCUCGUGCCGUGAGGUGUCGGCUUAAGUGCCAUAACGAGCGCAACCCUUAUCUUUAGUUACUAACAGGUUAUGCUGAGGACUCUAGAGAGACUGCCGUCGUAAGAUGUGAGGAAGGUGGGGAUGACGUCAAAUCAGCACGGCCCUUACGUCCGGGGCUACACACGUGUUACAAUGGGGGGUACAGAAGGCAGCUAGCGGGUGACCGUAUGCUAAUCCCAAAAGCCUCUCUCAGUUCGGAUCGAAGUCUGCAACCCGACUUCGUGAAGCUGGAUUCGCUAGUAAUCGCGCAUCAGCCACGGCGCGGUGAAUACGUUCCCGGGCCUUGUACACACCGCCCGUCAAGCCAUGGGAGCCGGGGGUACCUGAAGUACGUAACCGCAAGGAUCGUCCUAGGGUAAAACUGGUGACUGGGGCUAAGUC
rnacentral:rRNA from 1 species